AUUGAACGCUGGCGGCAGGCCUAACACAUGCAAGUCGAACGAGCGGCGGACGGGUGAGUAAUGUCUGGGAAACUGCCCGAUGGCGGGGGAUAACUACUGGAAACGGUAGCUAAUACCGCAUACUAUCGGCUGAGCCCCGAUGGGAUUAGCUAGUAGGUGGGGUAAAGGCUCACCUAGGCGACGAUCCCUAGCUGGUCUGAGAGGAUGAUCAGCCACACUGGAACUGAGACACGGUCCAGACUCCUACGGGAGGCAGCAGUGGGGAAUAUUGCACAAUGGGCGCAAGCCUGAUGCAGCCAUGCCGCGUGUAUGAAGAAGGCCUUAGGGUUGUAAAGUACUUUCAGCGGGGAGGCGUUACCCGCAGAAGAAGCACCGGCUAACUCCGUGCCAGCAGCCGCGGUAAUAC
rnacentral:rRNA from 1 species